rnacentral:rRNA from 1 species
UACGGAGGGUGCAAGCGUUAUCCGGAUUUACUGGGUUUAAAGGGUGCGUAGGUGGGUUGGUAAGUCAGUGGUGAAAUACUUUCGCUUAACGAAGGAACUGCCAUUGAUACUAUCAAUCUUGAAUGUAGUGGAGGUAGGCGGAAUGCGUCAUGUAGCGGUGAAAUGCUUAGAUAUGACGCAGAACACCAAUUGCGAAGGCAGCUUGCUACACUACUAUUGACACUGAGGCACGAAAGCGUGGGGAUCAAACAGGAGU